AUCUAGCUGAGAAGUCCCAAAUAGGACGAAACGCAUGUCCUAGAU
rfam:Schistosoma mansoni strain Puerto Rico chromosome 3, complete genome